rnacentral:tRNA from 1 species
GGGCGGGUAGCUCAGCUGGUCAGAGCGUCUCGUUUACACCGAGAGGGCCGCGGGUUCGAAUCCUGCCCCGCCCACCA